UUUCCGUAGGUGAACCUGCGGAAGGAUCAUUGUCGAAUCCUGCAAGAGCAGACCGCGCACACGUCCAACCACGAGGGGAGAGAGCGGCUGGGGGCGACCCCGGCAGGCGUUCCCACCCCGCAUCUCGCGCUGUGGGCUAACGAACCCCGGCGCGGAAUGCGCCAAGGAAAACAAACGGAAGUGCCCGCCUCCUGUCGCCCCGUUCGCGGUGCGCGCCGGGCGGCGCCUCUCAAGUCAUAACGACUCUCGGCAACGGAUAUCUCGGCUCUCGCAUCGAUGAAGAACGUAGCGAAAUGCGAUACUUGGUGUGAAUUGCAGAAUCCCGUGAACCAUCGAGUCUUUGAACGCAAGUUGCGCCCGAAGCCUUCUGGCCGAGGGCACGCCUGCCUGGGCGUCACGCAUCGCGUCGCCCCCCCGCCCAUCCGCCGGAUAGUGGCCCCCCGUGCGCCCUGGCGCGCGGCCGGCCCAAAUGCCAGCCCGUGGCGACCCGCGUCACGACAUGUGGUGGUUGAUCGCUCAACUCUCGUGUUGUCGUGCCCGUGUCGCCGUUUGGGCAUCGUGGUAGACCCAAUGGCGCAGCUGACUGCGCCCUCGACCGCGACCCCAGGUCAGGCGGGAUCACCCGCUGAGUUUAA
rnacentral:rRNA from 1 species